GGUGGAAGAAGGGGGUGGUGUUGAAGCUGAGAAUUGGGAAAAGGAGAGAAGAAGGUCCGAAAUUGGAAGCUUGAAGAAGAAGGCCAUAAACAUGUAUAUAGGGUAAAUAUUCUAACAAUUGAGAAGACAAUGCAGAUGUAGGAAUCAUGUAUUGAAUCUAUUUCUUUGAAAUGGAAAUUUAAGUUUCUGAAAGAGGAUGAG
rnacentral:sRNA from 1 species